rnacentral:misc_RNA from 1 species
UAGGGAGACCUAAUCCACUUGAAUAUCGAAAGCACACAGCAAAUAGAUAUCAAGUUGGUCAUUCCUAGGUCGGUCGCAUACUUGAAAUUGUGCUUUCAAACUAUGAUGGGUUCGUUUAACGCUUCCGGAGGUAAAAGUGCUAGAAUCAUUCUUGUGAGUCAAAACUCAACGUGAUAUAAUGAGAGAUUGGGAAAAGUCAGCACCUAGAUAUCAAGUGAUAUCGGAAUGCUGGAUUAUACCAGCCAGAACCUUGAAAACUGCAUAAGAAAGCGAGAAAAAGAAAAGCAGGCAGUAGAAAAAGUCAAAAGUCAAAAGUCAAAACAAGACGAAAAGACAAAAGACAGAAUACUGUAGAUUUUCAACCAAUGAAAGU